rnacentral:rRNA from 1 species
AUCUCCCCCAAGAGUUCACAUCGACGGGGAGGUUUGGCACCUCGAUGUCGGCUCAUCGCAUCCUGGGGCUGUAGUCGGUCCCAAGGGUUGGGCUGUUCGCCCAUUAAAGCGGUACGCGAGCUGGGUUCAGAACGUCGUGAGACAGUUCGGUCCCUAUCCGUCGUGGGCGUAGGAAAUUUGAGAGGAGCUGUCCUUAGUACGAGAGGACCGGGAUGGACAUACCUCUGGUGUACCAGUUGUCGUGCCAACGGCGGCAUAGCUGGGUAGCUAUGUGUGGACGGGAUAAGUGCUGAAAGCAUCUAAGCAUGAAGCCCCCCUCAAGAUGAGAUUUCCCAACUUCGGUUAUAAGAUCCCUCAAAGAUGAUGAGGUUAAUAGGUUCGAGGUGGAAGCAUGGUGACAUGUGGAGCUGACGAAUACUAAUCGAUCGAAGACUUAAUCAAAA